UCCAGCAAAAUACAUCUACACCCUCAUUUCCAAUCAGGAGGUUGAAGUCCUUUGAACACCCACAGUUUCGUUUGGUAGACCUUUGUAGAUUUCUUUAUGUUUGUCCAAAUCUGAUCUGGACUUUCUCAACUACAUCCCGGUCAACUCAGCUGUGGAUGGAGUGGAGAUGAUGGUUUCCAGGAUUUCAUGGCCACACACUAAGAGUUUUAACAAGAGCAUCAAGGAGCUACUUCAAUGCUGGAAACACCCUACACUCCAAAACAACAUUUUCAACACCGCUCUAUUCCAACCAGAAACUAAAGACCCCUCUGCAAGCUGAAGCUUAACCCUUCAUAAUGUGAACAGGACCUCUUCUUCAAAAAGCAAAGAUGCACCCACUAAACCUAGAUAUGAACAGAACUGGUGAGGGCUAAAGGCAGAAAUGUAAAUUGAGCUCCAAGAUAUAACAAUCUAAUAUUUUUCACCUUGCAGUGGUAAAAAGCUGGUCUUCAUUUGGGCGUUGGGUUAAUUAGAAUCACCAGUUAACCCCUAAAAAAUUGAAUGUCUUUGUACUGUGGCUGCAAAAAGGUCUCCAUUUUGGAGACAACACAUAGGAUUUGAAGAAUGUGAAGACUCAAAAAGCAAACCACAACAAUCAGAUGCUGUUCCCUCAACCCAAAGACACAGGUAAAAGAAAUCCUCUUACCCAAAAUCUCCGUACAGUAUAUAAUCCACCUCCUCUGCAGGAGAUUGUGUUGCAUUCUAAGGUGAGUCUGGCUGAAGCCAAAGACCAGGCUCCCCUCUCUCCGGAUUAUUCCACCUAUUGGAAAUCAGGAACUAGAUUGCCUUUGGAUGUUUCCCAGUCCACUAAGGCACAGACCCCUAAUACAUGAGGCAGGCCCAGAGAGGGUCUACUUGGCAGGCAAGAAUGGCCCUGAUAACUUUUUUCUUAACAAUAUAUUUUAGUGCCUCAGUUUUCAUUACAUGGAAUGUUUUAGAACUGAUUUUAAGAUGUCCUUUCAUCCUGGACCAAUUUGCCUUUGGGAGAUGCAAAAAGUGGCAAAGUGUCUCUGACAAUAUUUAAAGUCCUCCACUAGUGGAGGAAUUUGUUCAGUUACUUUUAAUAAUUGGAUGAAAAUCCUUCAACAUCACUAUGUGCCGUGUUUGUUUUCUUGACUUUCUCUUCCAGGUGUUUGUUUUUGCCAGGUUCCUUCAGAUGAUUUCUAGAUGUUUUCUAACAAAGUCUCGUCUGGCCUUCUUGUUCUUGAGUGUAACCAGACGUUUGCAUCAUGAUACAAAACCCUCUGGAUUUCAAUGAUGAGAUGUCCUCCUCUUCCAGAGUAUUCCAGACUUGGCUGAUGUUGUUUUUCGUUUUUUAAACAUAAAAAUAAUUCUGCCACUGCAUGUAGCUAGCUUCUUCUAAAGUUUUGUUUACCCCUGUGACAGAUUUAUUUUUUAAGCCUAAUGAUUGAUUUGUGAUAAAGCAAAUAUGUCAUGUCAAGGGAACAGGAGUCACAUGGCCUUGAAACGUCUUGUCGGUCAAUUUUCUAAAUGAAUUUUGAGCCUCUAGAAAUGGCUGUGUAAAAAAAACAAGGUGAAAGUAUGUAAUUCAAUCACAUAUUGAUUCUGUUAUUAAAAAUUUACUGUGGUGGUUUAUACACUCAAAAAAAUGAAACCUUGACUUUAAUUAAAAUUAUUUUGUCAACAGGU